AGCCUCAUUCUAGAUGGAAAUGGGCUGUGUCAUUCAUGGUGUCCAGAGACUGUUAAUGUGGCUACACUGACACACAGGCUAUGCUACCAUCACAGCAAGUUUAUUGCCGUGGUGACAGUGAGACCCAUAACCACG